GCCGAGGGUGGGGGGUGCGGGAAGUAGGGGAUGACAUUUGGUCGUGCUGAGGAUGAACUAAAUUAUGGGAUCUCCUGAGAGACCAGCACAUUGUGUUCUGCUGGAAAGCCAGGAUGGUUUGCAGCCAGAUUCAAGCACCAGUAGUGGAAAACAGAGCUCGGGUGGCACUCAGGGAAGCUCGUCGACCCACUUCUCGGGGGCCGAGUCUCCGGUACCGGCGGAUGAGUCUGGCGCGAGCCCGUCAUCACCCGGUGCCGACGGGCCUUGGGUCGGC